rnacentral:rRNA from 1 species
CCUACGGGAGGCUGCAGUGGGGAAUAUUGGACAAUGGGGGGAACCCUGAUCCAGCCAUGCCGCCUGUGUGAAGAAGGCCCUCGGGUUGUAAAGCACUUUCAGUGAGGAAGAACGCCUGGUGGUUAAUACCCAUCAGGAAAGACAUCACUCACAGAAGAAGCACCGGCUAACUCCGUGCCAGCAGCCGCGGUAAUACGGAGGGUGCGAGCGUUAAUCGGAAUUACUGGGCGUAAAGCGCGCGUAGGUGGCUUGAUAAGCCGGUUGUGAAAGCCCCGGGCUCAACCUGGGAACGGCAUCCGGAACUGUCAAGCUAGAGUGCAGGAGAGGAAGGUAGAAUUCCCGGUGUAGCGGUGAAAUGCGUAGAGAUCGGGAGGAAUACCAGUGGCGAAGGCGGCCUUCUGGACUGACACUGACACUGAGGUGCGAAAGCGUGGGUAGCAAACAGGAUUAGAUACCCCGGUAGUC